CCUUCAUGAUGACACCUGCACAUGUCUUACGCCUUGUGUUAAUGCCAGACCUGAAAAGGUGAACCCACUGGUGUUACCAUGGCAAUAAGGGGAUAGCUUGUUGGGGU